rnacentral:rRNA from 1 species
CGAAGGGUGCAAGCGUUAUUCGGAUUUAUUGGGCGUAAAGGGUUCGUAGGCGGGAUUGUAAGUCAAGUGUGAAAUCCCCAAGCUUAACUUGGGACGUGCAUUUGAAACUGUGAUUCUUGAGUCAUUGAGAGGGUGGUGGAAUUGUUGGUGUAGGAGUGACAUCCGUAGAGAUCAACAGGAACAUCAGAGGCGAAAGCGGCCACCUGGCAAUGUACUGACGCUGAGGAACGAAAGCGUGGGGGAGCAAACAGGAUUAGAUACCCUGGUAGUCCACGCCAUAAACGAUGAUAACUAGGUGUUGGGGGAUUGACCCCCUCAGUACCGUAGCUCACGCGCUAAGUUAUCCGCCUGGGGAGUACGGCCGCAAGGCUA